GGGUAGGCAAAUGCCUGGCGGUUACUUCGCAACUUAAACCGAUUACCAGACUGUCCUUCUGUUCCAAUCGAACUCAAUACACCGCUGGCGCUAUCCUACUCUUUU
rnacentral:vault_RNA from 1 species